rnacentral:snRNA from 1 species
AGCUUCGUGCAGUGGCAGUAUCGUAGCCAAUGAGAUUUAUCCGAGGCACAAUUAUUACUAAUUGAAAACUUGGUUCCCAAUACCCUGCCAUGGCAACUUGAAAUACAGUUGGCAUUGGCAAUUUUUGACUGUCUCUAUGGAGA